GACGAACGCUGGCGGCGUGCUUAACACAUGCAAGUCGAACGGAAAGGCCCUGCUUUUGUGGGGUGCUCGAGUGGCGAACGGGUGAGUAACACGUGAGUAGCCUGCCCUUGACUUUGGGAUAACUUCAGGAAACUGGGGCUAAUACCGGAUAGGAGCUCCUGCUGCAUGGUGGGGGUUGGAAAGUUUCGGCGGUUGGGGAUGGACUCGCGGCCUAUCAGCUUGUUGGUGGGGUAGUGGCUUACCAAGGCUUUGACGGGUAGCCGGCCUGAGAGGGUGACCGGCCACAUUGGGACUGAGAUACGGCCCAGACUCCUACGGGAGGCAGCAGUGGGGAAUAUUGCACAAUGGGCGGAAGCCUGAUGCAGCAACGCCGCGUGCGGGAUGACGGCCUUCGGGUUGUAAACCGCUUUCGCCUGUGACGAAGCGUGAGUGACGGUAAUGGGUAAAGAAGCACCGGCUAACUACGUG
rnacentral:rRNA from 1 species